AACCACACUAUCAAUGAAUGGAUUCACUCGCGAGAUGAUGUGGUUGUUUCACAUCCUCGUCAUCCUAUUACCAGCCAUCACACAAAAUUAACAGAAUGCCACGUCCCCAUCCUAGAUGGAACAACCACAUCAUCCCACGGGUGAAUUCAUUCAUCGAUAGUGUGGUU
rfam:Oryza sativa (indica cultivar-group) chromosome 3, whole genome shotgun sequence.